rnacentral:rRNA from 1 species
GACGAACGCUGGCGGCGUGCCUAAUACAUGCAAGUCGAGCGCAGGAAAUCGACGGAACCCUUCGGGGGGAAGUCGACGGGAUGAGCGGCGGACGGGUGAGUAACACGUAAAGAACCUGCCCUCAGGUCUGGGAUAACCACGAGAAAUCGGGGCUAAUACCGGAUGGGUCAUCGGACCGCAUGGUCCGAGGAUGAAAGGCGCUUCGGCGGCGCCUGGGGAUGGCUUUGCGGUGCAUUAGCUAGUUGGUGGGGUAAUGGCCCACCAAGGCGACGAUGCAUAGCCGACCUGAGAGGGUGAUCGGCCACACUGGGACUGAGACACGGCCCAGACUCCUACGGGAGGCAGCAGUAGGGAAUCUUCCACAAUGGACGAAAGUCUGAUGGAGCAACGCCGCGUGAACGAUGAAGGCCUUCGGGUCGUAAAGUUCUGUUGUAAGGGAAGAACAAGUGCCGCAGGCAAUGGCGGCACCUUGACGGUACCUUGCGAGAAGGCCACGGCUAACUACGUGCCAGCCGCCGCAGUAA